UACAGAGGUCCCGAGCGUUGUUCGGAUUCAUUGGGCGUAAAGAGCGUGUAGGCGGCCAGGUAGGUCUGCUGUGAAAACUCGAGGCUCAACCUCGAGAUGUCGGCGGAAACCAUCUGGCUAGAGUCCGGAAGAGGAGAAUGGAAUUCCCGGUGUAGCGGUGAAAUGCGCAGAUAUCGGGAAGAACACCCGUGGCGAAGGCGGUUCUCUGGGACGGUACUGACGCUGAGACGCGAAAGCGUGGGGAGCGAACAGG
rnacentral:rRNA from 1 species